UAUCUCAGGUUGAGAGGAGAACAAACGAGAGAAAAUCUGGGAUGGUAAGAUUUAUUUCGAGAAUUCGAACUAGAAUAUAACUCGGCUCUGAAUCAGAUUUCUUCCUUGAGAAACUCCGAUCGGAUCCGAAAGAACAGGCAUGUUGCUUGCCGUGCUGAUUGCCAACUCCGUCGGCAACAUUCUCGUCGAACGGUUUCACGGAGUUCCGGCAGAGGAGCGAUUGCAUUGGCGAUCCUUUCUAGUGAAGCUGGGAGCUGAUAAUCUCAAAGGUGCAAAAAAUGAAGAGCUCUAUGUUGCUUCGCACAAGUCUGUAUACGUUGUUUACACAGUCCUUGGUGAUGUUGCUGUUUAUGUUGUUGGGAAGGAUGAAUAUGAUGAAUUAGCUUUGGCAGAAGUGAUCUUUGUAAUAACAUCAUUGAUAAAGGAUGCCUGCGGGAAAGCUCCAACCGAGCGAUUGUUUCUUGACAAAUAUGGAAAGAUCUGUUUGUGUCUUGAUGAAAUUGUCUGGAUGGGCAUCUUGGAGAACACAGAGAAAGACAGGAUCAAGAGGCUGGUAAGGUUAAAGCCUCCAAAUGAGUUUUGAUUUAAUGAAACGGUAGCACAUCCUCUCAGUCAUCCACUUCGACGUUACUGCUUCCACGUGGUUAUCUUCCUGCUUUUCAACUCUUUUACCCGCAAGAUCGUUUCAGCCCUGUGUAUUCAUGGUGAUCGUCGGUAUGUUUACUUUACUUCCUAUUCUAUUUUGUUCGGUUUGUAAGUUAGAACACACGAUUCUAAAAGAAUUCAAGGGAUUGUUUGGAUUAAGAUUUUCAUAGCGGGUAGGAAGCUUGCGACUACAGACUACAUUGGGAUUAUGAUUGGUUUUGAUAUUCGUCUGAAGAAAUGAUACUUCCUAUUAAGAACUUCCUUGA